rnacentral:rRNA from 1 species
UACGAAGGGGGCUAGCGUUGCUCGGAAUCACUGGGCGUAAAGGGUGCGUAGGCGGGUCUUUAAGUCAGGGGUGAAAUCCUGGAGCUCAACUCCAGAACUGCCUUUGAUACUGAGGAUCUUGAGUCCGGGAGAGGUGAGUGGAACUCCGAGUGUAGAGGUGAAAUUCGUAGAUAUUCGGAAGAACACCAGUGGCGAAGGCGGUUCUCUGGGCCUUACCUGACGCUGAGGAGCGAAAGCGUGGGGAGCGAACAGG